rnacentral:rRNA from 1 species
UACAGAGGGGGCAAGCGUUGUUCGGAAUUACUGGGCGUAAAGGGCGCGUAGGCGGCCUUCUAAGUCAGACGUGAAAUCCCCCGGCUUAACCUGGGAACUGCGUCUGAUACUGGGAGACUUGAGUAUGGGAGAGGGAUGUAGAAUUCCAGGUGUAGCGGUGAAAUGCGUAGAUAUCUGGAGGAAUACCGGUGGCGAAGGCGGCAACCUGGGCCAUAACUGACGCUGAGGCGCGAAAGCGUGGGGAGCAAACAGG